GUUCAGUAUCAUCCUCUCUGUCUGCAUUUCUAGCAAGUUUCAACAACUACCAAAGUGAAUGAACCAGAAAUGCAAAGCUUCUCUCUUCCUCCUGCUUUCUGAUUUCAUGUUCCCUCUCCUAAUGAGUGCUGGUAUACUGAACAACCUCACAGUUACCCAAGAUUCUUCUCCAGCUAAAGUGUUUGGAUUUCACGAAGAAAACAAGCAGGGAAAAAAGCCUGGAGGAAAACGGAGAUCGUGCAAGGUGAAAGGGUUUCUGAGUGGAGAAUUGAAGCCGCAAACUGCACAUCUCAUCAUCUCUUUAAGACUACAGUGCACUGCUUUGUUGCUCCUUGGAUUCCUGUGAUCUUUGCUUCCAUUUUGCAGAGACCUAACUUGUCCUGGAUUGGUAGAUGAAAUUGGCAUGUUUCUUUCUAGAAUUUAAC
rnacentral:lncRNA from 1 species